rnacentral:rRNA from 1 species
GACGAACGCUGGCGGCGUGCUUAACACAUGCAAGUCGAACGGAGUGGCGAACGGGUGAGUAACACGUGGGUGAUCUGCCUUGCACUUCGGGAUACGCUGGGGAAACUGGGUAUAAUACCGGAUAGUCCAAGAUGAGCUCGCGGCCUAUCAGCUUGUUGGUGGGGUAAUGGCCUACCAAGGCGUAGACGGGUCGCCGGCCGGUGAUGGUGUACGGACACAAUGGGACUGCGAUAAGGCGCAGAUGCCUACGGGAGGCAGCAGUGGUGAAUAUUGCACAAGGGGCGGAAGCCUGAUGAAGCGACGCUGGGUGGGGAAUGAAGUCCUUCGGGUGGUGAACUCCUUUCGACAGGGACGCGGUACCUGUAUAAGAAGCACCGGCUAACUACGUGCCAGCAGCCGCGGUAAUAC